rnacentral:rRNA from 1 species
AGAGAUGUGUGAUGACGCAUAUCAAUAAGCGGAGGAAAAGAAACUAACAAGGAUUCCCUAGUAACGGCGAGUGAAGCGGGAAGAGCUCAAAUUUGAAAUCUUAAAGGUUUUCCCUUGACGAAUUGUAGUUUAAAGAAGUGUUUUCUGUUGGAGUUUCGGUAAAAGUUCUUUGAAAUAGGACAUCAUAGAGGGUGAGAAUCCCGUAUUUGACCAUUACUUUCCAGCUGUGUGAUACACUUUCAAAGAGUCGGAUUGUUUGGGAAUGCAGUCCAAGAUGGGUGGUAAAUUUCAUCUAAAGCUAAAUAUUGGCGAGAGACCGAUAGCGAACAAGUACCGUGAGGGAAAGAUGAAAAGAACUUUGAAAGGAGAGUUAAACAGUACGUGAAAUUGUCAAAAGGGAAGCGUUUGACACCAGUGUUGUUUUCUCGAAAAUCAAUUAAAAAUGCAUGGAUUUUGUGUUGUAUUGACUUUAUCAGCUUUCUGCACUUUUUUCUUAUCUUUUUUAAUGCACUUUUCGUUUAACAAGUCAACAUCAAUUUCUUUUGCUGUAAAAGAGUCAUUGGAAGGUGGCUUUCUUUUCGGAGAAAGUGUUUAUAGCCUUUGGCCUCUGCAGUCGGAGAGAUUGAGGUCUGCAGCGUAGAUCCUUCGGGGUUAGAUACAUUUGUGCUAAGUUAUAGCUUUUCAUAGACAACUUGUUGACUAUGUUUAGUCUUGUAGCUUACUCGCUUAUGCUAUUUUACCUACGCUUAGGAUGUUGAAGAUGUAGCACAUCAU